GCGGCGUGGCUAAAGCAUGCAAGUCGCACGCGAAAGUUCUUCNGGGAACGAGUAGAGUGGCGAAAGGGCGAGGAAUACAUGGGUAACAUACCCCCGGCACAGGGAUAGCCGCGGGAAACCGCGGGUAAUACCUGAUAUGACCACGGCAUCUUAUGAUGCAGUGGUAAAAGGGUGGGGACCUUCGGGCCUACCGGCCAGGGAGUGGCCCAUGUCCUAUCAGCUUGUUGGUGAGGCAACGGCUCACCAAGGCGACGACGGGUACCGGGGCUGAGAGGCCGAUCCGGCGCAUUGGGACUGAGACACUGCCCAGACUCCUGCGGGAGGCUGCAGCGACGAAUAUUGCACAAUGGGCGCAAGCCUGAUGCAGCGACGCCGCGUGUGGGAGGAAGCCCCUCGGGGUGUAAACCACUGUCAGGGACCACCAAGCGACCCGGGCGAAUAGUCCGGGAAGUUGAGGAAUCCCAGAGGAAGUCACGGCUAACUUCGUGCCAGCAGCCGCGGUAAGACGAAGGUGGCAAGCGUUGUUCGGAAUCACUGGGCUUAAAGAGCACGUAGGCGGAUUGUCAAGCACCUUGUGAAAUCCCUCGGCUUAACCGAGGAAUUGCUUGGUGAACUGGCAGUCUUGAGGCAGGUAGAGGCACACGGAACUCUUGGUGGAGCGGUGGAAUGCGUAGCAUAUCACGAGGAACGCCUGAGGCGAAAGCGGUGUGCUGGGCC
rnacentral:rRNA from 1 species